rnacentral:rRNA from 1 species
AGCUCCAAUAGCGUAUAUUAAAGUUGUUGCAGUUAAAAAGCUCGUAGUUGGAUCUCGGGUCCAGGCUUGCGGUUCUGCUCGUGCAGAUACUGCUCGUCCUGACCUACCUGCCGGUGUUCCCCUGGUGCCCUUAGCUGGGUGUCUCGGGUGGCCGGAACGUUUACUUUGAAAAAAUUAGAGUGUUCAAAGCAGGCAUUCUGCCUGAAUAAUGGUGCAUGGAAUAAUAGAAAAGGACCUCGGUUCUAUUUUGUUGGUUUUCGGAACUUGAGGUAAUGAUUAAGAGGGACAGACGGGGGCAUUCGUAUUACGGUGUUAGAGGUGAAAUUCUUGGAUCGCCGUAAGACGAACUACUGCGAAAGCAUUUGCCAAGAAUGUUUUCAUUAAUCAAGAACGAAAGUAG